rnacentral:tRNA from 1 species
GCCGACGUAGCUCAGUUGGUAGAGCAACGCAUUCGUAAUGCGUGGGUCGGGGGUUCGAAUCCCUUCGUCGGCACCA